GCUUCGGUGGCGAAGUUGGUUAACGCACCUUUUCGGUAAGGAGGAAGCCCAGGUUUGACUCCUGGCCGAAGCG
rnacentral:tRNA from 1 species